GGGGAAUAUUGGACAAUGGGGGCAACCCUGAUCCAGCAAUGCCGCGUGUGUGAAGAAGGUCUUCGGAUUGUAAAGCACUUUCGACGGGGACGAUGAUGACGGUACCCGUAGAAGAAGCCCCGGCUAACUUCGUGCCAGCAGCCGCGGUAAUACGAAGGGGGCUAGCGUUGCUCGGAAUGACUGGGCGUAAAGGGCGUGUAGGCGGUUUACACAGUCAGAUGUGAAAUCCCCGGGCUUAACCUGGGAGCUGCAUUUGAUACGUGUAGACUAGAGUGUGAGAGAGGGUUGUGGAAUUCCCAGUGUAGAGGUGAAAUUCGUAGAUAUUGGGAAGAACACCGGUGGCGAAGGCGGCAACCUGGCUCAUGACUGACGCUGAGGCGCGAAAGCGUGGGGAGCAAACAGGAUUAGAUACCCUGGUAGUCCACGCUGUAAACGAUGUGUGCUAGAUGUUGGGUAACUUUGUUAUUCAGUGUCGCAGUUAACGCGUUAAGCACACCGCCUGG
rnacentral:rRNA from 1 species